AGAUGAUUUUAGUGCUUGCACUAAAUGAAACUAGAUACAAGCGAGCGGCGGACGGGUGAGUAACACGUGGGUAACCUGCCCAAGAGACUGGGAUAACACCUGGAAACAGAUGCUAAUACCGGAUAACAACACUAGACGCAUGUCUAGAGUUUGAAAGAUGGUUCUGCUAUCACUCUUGGAUGGACCUGCGGUGCAUUAGCUAGUUGGUAAGGUAACGGCUUACCAAGGCAAUGAUGCAUAGCCGAGUUGAGAGACUGAUCGGCCACAUUGGGACUGAGACACGGCCCAAACUCCUACGGGAGGCAGCAGUAGGGAAUCUUCCACAAUGGACGAAAGUCUGAUGGAGCAACGCCGCGUGAGUGAAGAAGGGUUUCGGCUCGUAAAGCUCUGUUGGUAGUGAAGAAAGAUAGAGGUAGUAACUGGCCUUUAUUUGACGGUAAUUACUUAGAAAGUCACGGCUAACUACGUGCCAGCAGCCGCGGUAAUACGUAGGUGGCAAGCGUUGUCCGGAUUUAUUGGGCGUAAAGCGAGUGCAGGCGGUUCAAUAAGUCUGAUGUGAAAGCCUUCGGCUCAACCGGAGAAUUGCAUCAGAAACUGUUGAACUUGAGUGCAGAAGAGGAGAGUGGAACUCCUGGUUAAGG
rnacentral:rRNA from 1 species